rnacentral:rRNA from 1 species
AUUGAACUCUGGCGGCAGGCCUAACACAUGCAAGUCGAGCGCGCGGCGGACGGGUGAGUAAUGUCUGGGAAACUGCCUGAUUGAGGGGGAUAACUACUGGAAACGGUAGCUAAUACCUCAUCCCAUCAGAUGUUCCCAGAUGGGAUUAGCUAGUAGGUGGGGAAAUGGCUAACCUAGGCGACGAUCCCUAGCUGGUCUGAGAGGAUGACCAGCCACACUGGAACUGAGACACGGUCCAGACUCCGACGGGAGGCAGCAGUGGGGAUGAUGGCAAAAUGGGCGCAAGCCUGAUGCAGCCAUGCCGCGUGUGUGAAGAAGGCCUUCGGGUUGUAAAGCACUUUCAGCGGGGAGGCGUUACCCGCAGAAGAAGCACCGGCUAACUCCGUGCCAGCAGCCGCGGUAAUAC